rnacentral:lncRNA from 1 species
UGCACUACUCCAGCAAGAGGAAUCACCGUCACUUCAUUCUUCAACCGUAGCCCUCCAUCCAUUCACUCCAAGUAAUAUAAUGUGUUAAAGAGAGAGUCCUCCAUGUGGCGGCUACCAGCAGUCCUAGGAAUCUCACUUCUUUUUUUUUAUAUGCAGCAAUCCCCACACAUUCCCUAUACCCUACUGCCAGCAUGGCCUCCCUUAGCUGUUCCAAUUUUUUUUUUUUCAUUUUGGACAUCAGAAGCUGGACCUUGAUGCUGCCAAAACAUGAUGCUGUUACGUGGAGAGCUGGUGCUGGAUCAGCUGCUGCUUAAAGCCCAAAAUCAGCUGCUGCAGCGCAUGGGGUGUGAAGUCCAGCUGCACCUCCCUCGUGUGGAUCAGGCCAUGAUGGCACUUCUCUAAGCUUCACGUGCUGGACAACUUUCAAUCGUGGGCCAACUUCAAUUUGUUUUGGGCUUUGUGGCAGCAAUGCUUCGGGAGUUACUCCCUGUACCUCCUCAAUUUCAACCCCCACCCCCCAAUUUUUUUGGAUUAUUUUUUAAAUAUAAAAUUAAUCUUUAUGUUUUUUUUUUAUUUUUACCGUUUUACACCUAUUUACUAAAAUUAACCUACUCUUUUACAGUCUGCCUCAGUCAAAACACACAGACUCAAAUUCCUCUCCUUCGUAUUCC